rnacentral:rRNA from 1 species
UAGGGAAUAUUGGACAAUGGGCGCAAGCCUGAUCCAGCCAUCCCGCGUGAAGGAUUAAGGUCCUAUGGAUUGUAAACUUCUUUUCUCUGGGAAUAAAAAGUGGGAUUCAUCCUGCCUUGAAGGUACCAGAGGAAUAAGCACCGGCUAACUCCGUGCCAGCAGCCGCGGUAAUACGGAGGGUGCAAGCGUUAUCCGGAUUCACUGGGUUUAAAGGGUGCGUAGGUGGCUUUGUAAGUCAGUGGUGAAAGCCCGGAGCUCAACUCCGGAACUGCCAUUGAUACUGCUUAGCUUGAAUCAGGUCGAGGUGGAUGGAAUAUUACAUGUAGCGGUGAAAUGCUUAGAUAUGUAAUAGAACACCGAUUGCGAAGGCAGUUCACUAGGCCUGUAUUGACACUGAGGCACGAAAGCGUGGGGAUCAAACAGGAUUAGAUACCCCUGUAGUCC